GUCAGGCGGGGCCACCCGCCGAGUUUAAGCAUAUAAAUAAGCGGAGGAGAAGAAACUUACGAGGAUUCCCCUAGUAACGGCGAGCGAACCGGGAUCAGCCCAGCUUGAGAAUCGGGCGGCCGCGCCGUCCGAAUUGUAGUCUGGAGAAGCGUCCYCAGCGACGGACCGGGCCCAAGUCCCCUGGAAAGGGGCGCCGGGGAGGGUGAGAGCCCCGUCCG
rnacentral:rRNA from 1 species